UACGAAGGGUGCAAGCGUUACUCGGAAUUACUGGGCGUAAAGCGUGCGUAGGUGGCUUUUUAAGUCAGGGGUGAAAUCCUGGAGCUCAACUCCAGAACUGCCUUUGAUACUGGGAAGCUUGAGUCCGGAAGAGGUGAGUGGAACUCCGAGUGUAGAGGUGAAAUUCGUAGAUAUUCGGAAGAACACCAGUGGCGAAGGCGGCUCACUGGUCCGGUACUGACGCUGAGGUGCGAAAGCGUGGGGAGCAAACAGG
rnacentral:rRNA from 1 species